UACGGGGGGGGCAAGCGUUGUUCGGAAUUACUGGGCGUAAAGGGCUCGUAGGCGGCCAACUAAGUCAUACGUGAAAUCCCUCGGCUUAACCGGGGAACUGCGUCUGAUACUGGAUGGCUUGAGUUCGGGAGAGGGAUGCGGAAUUCCAGGUGUAGCGGUGAAAUGCGUAGAUAUCUGGAGGAACACCGGUGGCGAAGGCGGCAUCCUGGACCAAUUCUGACACUGAGGAGCGAAAGCCAGGGGAGCAAACGGG
rnacentral:rRNA from 1 species